AUUGAACGCUGGCGGCAUGCCUUACACAUGCAAGUCGAACGGUAACAGGUCUUCGGAUGCUGACGAGUGGCGAACGGGUGAGUAAUACAUCGGAACGUGCCUAGUAGUGGGGGAUAACUACUCGAAAGAGUGGCUAAUACCGCAUGAGAUCUACGGAUGAAAGCAGGGGAUCGCAAGACCUUGCGCUACUAGAGCGGCCGAUGGCAGAUUAGGUAGUUGGUGGGAUAAAAGCUUACCAAGCCGACGAUCUGUAGCUGGUCUGAGAGGACGAUCAGCCACACUGGGACUGAGACACGGCCCAGACUCCUACGGGAGGCAGCAGUGGGGAAUUUUGGACAAUGGGCGCAAGCCUGAUCCAGCAAUGCCGCGUGCAGGAUGAAGGCCUUCGGGUUGUGAACUGCUUUUGCACGGAACGAAAAGCCCUGGGUUAAUACCCUGGGGUCAUGACGGUACCGUAAGAAUAAGCACCGGCUAACUACGUGCCAGCCGCCGCAGUAAGAC
rnacentral:rRNA from 1 species